CUGGGGCAGGCCCAAAGCUGGGAGCAGGCUUCUGAGGGUCACUGGAGGAGCAUCUGCUGAGGCCAUGGUUUGGGGAGUGCUGAUCAUCAACUGGCAUUUUGUCAACCACGUCCACCACAUUGUGUCCCGACAUGCCGGAGGAGGGAUGUUUCUUCUCAAUGAGAAAGAAAGAGUGAGACAGAUGCACUGGCCGUGUGAGUGCAAAUGGGAAGAUUUCUCCAAUGAAAGAUAAAGUACUUGGGAAAAAGCAUAUUUGAUUAUGUGAACAGCAGAUGCUUUGGCAGUGUUCCCUUUUAAGUAUACCUGUGUCUGUUCAGAGGUUACUUGCCAAGAGGCAAUAUUACCUGGUGGCCUAGACAGUAUGAAAAUGGCAUUUACUGGCCAACUGGCAUACUGAGCCACACAGCAUGGUUUUAUGCAUCAACUACCUCCAUUUCCAAUAUUUGUUUUUUUCCUAAAUCUUGAUGGGGACUCAUUGGAGCUAUCUAAUCCCAACUGUAGUGAACCCUAAAUGUUCCUGUCUAGCACCACCCAACUGUAGAAAUCAUGCAUGCAUUAAAACCCUUCUGUGAGAGAAAAUGUCCUUAAGCUAAGUCAUCUGACAAUAUUCAGACUGACGGCUGGGAACCUCUGAUAGUCCAAAGUUUAAAUGUGAACUUUGGGACUUUAUUACUUCACUUAAUCAAGUGAAGGCAGUUUGCUGUCACAUAACAGCAAAUUCUGUAUUUACUUUCAAGUAGCUGAAUACUAUUACUAAUAUAAG
rnacentral:lncRNA from 1 species